rnacentral:rRNA from 1 species
ACUACGGGUGGCAGCAGUCGAGAAUCAUUCACAAUGGGGGAAACCCUGAUGGUGCGACGCCGCGUGGGGGAAUGAAGGUCUUCGGAUUGUAAACCCCUGUCAUGUGGGAGCAAAUUAAAAAGAUAGUACCACAAGAGGAAGAGACGGCUAACUCUGUGCCCGCAGCCGCGGUAAUACAGGGGUCUCAAGCGUUGUUCGGAAUCACUGGGCGUAAAGCGUGCGUAGGCGGUUUCGUAAGUCGUGUGUGAAAGGCGGGGGCUCAACCCGCGGACGGAACAUGAUACUGCGAGACUAGAGUAAUGGAGGGGGAACCGGAAUUCUCGGUGUAGCAGUGAAAUGCGUAGAUAUCGAGAGGAACACUCGUGGCGAAGGCGGGUUCCUGGACAUUAACUGACGCUGAGGCACGAAGGCCAGGGGAGCGAAAGGGAUUAGAUACCCCAGUAGUC